rnacentral:lncRNA from 1 species
GCCCAUAAAGACGGGAAGAUGGGCCUGCACAAACGGGCCUUCCUCCCUUCGCGCCCCCAUAGAUCUACCCUGCCCUAGCCACACCCUCCUGCUUUGUCUUGUCACUUCUCUACGAUCUGUGUCUUCUGUUAAGAUGCUAUGGAAGCCCCCACAUUGGAACCACCACUUUGGUUCCUUCAUGUCUCGGUCACAGAGUCUGUUUCCUCAUGCUGACCACAGCUGCAUUCUGGUCCCACGGGCUCUUCCAGAGCCUGGUCCCUGCCCACCAAGAAGUUGUAUCUCUCUCCUCUCCCCUUGGACCUGGAGAGCUUGUGACUGCUGCAGGAGUGACCUGUGUGGUCAAUGACGCUGGGUCAGGAAAGGUGACCCGGCCUCCGCCUGGGCCUCUCUCGGGACCCCUGCCCUGGGAGCCCUGAGCCACCGUUGGGGGAUCUGGUUCCGCUGGAGCAGCUGUCCCGGACGCCCACGUGGAGUAGCGACGCGCCGGCCCCAGCAAGCCUGUCACACUGCAGAUUCUUGAGCCGGACGAAUGCUGGCUGUCCUUUGAGGUCUCUGAGUGUGGCGAGGUUUGUCAUACAGCUGCAGGGAACUGGGGGCAUCUGUGCAUAGCUUCUCAGACACUCUCCUUUCCGGGUAUGUUAGAGACCGGGCACAAGAGAGCACCAAAGAGGCGCUGCAGGCUCAUGUUCCUCCCCAGCAUCAACCUCAGUGUGUCUGGUUUCUAAACCUUCUAGAAUCCCCAAGCAAGACCCUGGGCCUUUGGGUCAGGUCAUUUUGUUUUUUGAGGUUUGUUUUUAAGAUUGGCACCUAAGCUAACAUCUGUUGCCGGUCUUUUUUUUUUUCUUUUCUGCUUUUUCUCCCCAAAUCCCCCCAGUACAUAGUUGUAUAUCCUAGUUGUGCGUCCUUCUAGUUGUGGCAUGUGGAACGCAGCCUCAGCUUGGCCUGACGAGCAGCGCCAUGUCCAUGCCCAGGAUCUGAACCAGCAAACCCUGGGCUGCCAAAGCGGGGUGUGCAACUUAACCACUCAGCCACAGGGCCAGUCCUGUUGUUUGAAUUUUAAGGCUCUUUGUGUAUGUGUAUGUUUGUAUGUUUGUUCUUAACACAUGAAAAUGUAAAUGGCAGGGCCGGACCAGUGGCACAGCAGUUCGCACGUUCUGCUUCUUGGUAGCCCGGGGUCUGCCGGUUCGGAUCCUGGGUGUGGAUAUGGCACCACUUGGCAAAAGCCAUGCUGUGGUAGGCGUCCCACGUAUAGAGUGGAGGAAGAUGGGCAUGGAUGUUAGCUCAGGGCCAGUCUUCCUCAGCACAAAGAGGGAGAUUGGCAGUAGUUAGCUCAGGGCUAAUCUUCCUCAAAAAAAGAAAAAGAAAAAGAAAAAGAAAAUGUAAACGUAAAUGACAUCCAGGAAUCCAAAGACAGAGGGAAAGCAGUGGAGUGUCCUUGUCCAGCUGCAGCCGUCAGGGUCCUGGCGGGACACACUCGAGACUGUUUAUCUGAAAAGAGCUUAAUGAAGAGACUCUUUGCUGAUCUGGGUAAAGAAACCAACAAGGGGUGGAGGCACCAGCGACCAGCGAGAGUUGCCCCCUGGCCUGAAGGACCAAGAAUGUGUGCUGAUGACAGAGCCCGGCGAGGACAUGGAACGGUGACAAGGGGCCACACAGAGCACAAUCCGGGUGCACUGCAGGGGAGGAGAGAGAUGCAGUUAAGGUCCCGAAUCGAUGACCCUAAGAAGGAGAUUGUCCUUGGUGGGCCUGAUCUCAUCAGGCAAGCCCUUGAAAGGGACAGGACUCUUCUUGGAGAAUGAGAUUUGCAGGGUGAGGGGGAUUCAGUGAGUGGAAGGUUCUCCGCUGCUGGCUUUGAGGGUGGAAGGGACCCUGUGCCGGGGAACGAGUGACCUCGAGGAGCUGAGUGGCCCUGGCUGACAGCCAGCAAGGAAAUGGUGACCUGCAUCCUGCACCCACCAGGAACCGGAUUCUGCUACAACCACGAGAGCUUGGAAGAGGACCCUGAGCGGCAGCCACCCAGAUGCCCUGGACCCAGGAGGAGCGCUCUGCAUCUUGGCCCUGCAUCUCAUCUGGCUGGUGCCCAAGCUUGGAUGAUGGAUUAUGUGGUCACCCUAUUCUGAAGUCACCUCCCCGACAGCCUCCCGGUCAGGGUGUCUGGUCAAAACGGCCCAAGCAGCAGGUGAAUCUCAGACAUUUGGAACUUUUGACUGUUGUCACAUUCAAGUGUCAAAAAAUAUAUAAAAUGGUGCAUUGCUUUGAUUGCCCUUACAACUUCAGACUCCGCGGUCAGGAACGGGCUGUGGCUUGAGCUGCUGAGCCAAACAGAGACAUUCAGCAGAGAUGUCUAUGCAGACUUGCCUCCUGACUCUGCCAUGAGCAUGCGGAAAGAGCGGUGCUCUCUGGGACUGCAGGUGCCGGCGGUGUGGACCCACACACAGGGACCCUGGCUGCAGCGGUGCUGCCGUUUUCACUCAGCGAGGUGGGGUUUCUCCUGCCUCGACUGAUCGUCAGAACUCAUGCUCAUCUGAUGGUUGAUGUGCUUUUGUGUUUUUGUUACCAGGAAUGAGGAAUGGCCUUGAUGGACCCCUAGUUCCCUUAUUAAAUGUUACUGCUGUGAAUGGCUAAGGAGGAAAGAGACCCCCGUAACAGUGGUUGCUGACCCGGAGAGGAAGUGGGUGCCUGGCCCCAGGGGGCAGAGGGACGCUUACUUUUAUUCUUUGUUCCAUUUGAACUUUGUACUGUGUACAAGUAUUGCCUAUCAAAAAUAAAUUAAUAAUAG